AUUGAAUGCUGGCGGCAGGCUUAACACAUGCAAGUCGAGCGGGGUGAUGGUGCUUGCACUAUCACUUAGCGGCGGACGGGUGAGUAAUGCUUAGGAAUCUGCCUAUUAGUGGGGGACAACAUCUCGAAAGGGAUGCUAAUACCGCAUACGUCCUACGGGAGAAAGCAGGGGAUCACUUGUGACCUUGCGCUAAUAGAUGAGCCUAAGUCGGAUUAGCUAGUUGGUGGGGUAAAGGCCUACCAAGGCGACGAUCUGUAGCGGGUCUGAGAGGAUGAUCCGCCACACUGGGACUGGGACACGGCCCAGACUCCUACGGGAGGCAGCAGUGGGGAAUAUUGGACAAUGGGGGGAACCCUGAUCCAGCCAUGCCGCGUGUGUGAAGAAGGCCUUAUGGUUGUAAAGCACUUUAAGCGAGGAGGAGGCUCUUUUGGUUAAUACCCAAGAUGAGUGGACGUUACUCGCAGAAUAAGCACCGGCUAACUCUGUGCCAGCAGCCGCCGUAA
rnacentral:rRNA from 1 species